rnacentral:rRNA from 1 species
GACGAACCGAGCGAACGUUGUUCGGAAUCACUGGGCUUAAAGGGCGCGUAGGCGGGUGUUCAAGUCUGUGGUGAAAUCCUCCGGCUCAACCGGAGAAUUGCCUCGGAUACUGAAUGUCUCGAGGGUGAUAGGGGUAUGCGGAACUAUCGGUGGAGCGGUGAAAUGCGUUGAUAUCGAUAGGAACUCCGGUGGCGAAGGCGGCAUACUGGAUCACUUCUGACGCUGAGGCGCGAAAGCCAGGGGAGCAAACGGG